rnacentral:rRNA from 1 species
GACGAACGCUGGCGGCGUGCUUAACACAUGCAAGUCGAACGCUGAACCCGCUUCGGUGGGGGAUGAUUGGCGCACGGGUGAGUAACACGUGGGCAACCUGCCCCCGGCUCUGGGAUAACUCCAAGAAAUUGGGGCUAAUACCGGAUGUGACCGCUGGCCGCAUGGUCUGGUGGUGGAAAGGGUUUCCGGCUGGGGAUGGGCCCGCGGCCUAUCAGCUUGUUGGUGGGGUAGUGGCCUACCAAGGCGACGACGGGUAGCCGGCCUGAGAGGGUGACCGGCCACACUGGGACUGAGACACGGCCCAGACUCCUACGGGAGGCAGCAGUGGGGAAUAUUGCGCAAUGGGCGGAAGCCUGACGCAGCGACGCCGCGUGGGGGAUGACGGCCUUCGGGUUGUAAACCUCUUUCAGCAGGGACGAAGCGCAAGUGACGGUACCUGCAGAAGAAGCACCGGCCAACUACGUG